ACAGCGGACACACGGAACCACAUACCCCCCCCCCCCCCCCCCCCGCGCACCUACAGCGGCACACAAUCUGCGUUGGCGCGGCGCUGUGUGUGAUAGUCCCGACUAUGCGUUUGUCGGUGUGUAAUUGUGUUAGUGCCGCCAGACGGAAGUUUACUAUCUUUUUUUUUUCGGGUUUGUCGAGUCUGCUGCCCGUCCUCACUCCGACGGUACCUCCCUUCUCGCUUCUCGAACUUUCUCCACGACAUCAGCGAGCCGUCUAUAAUCACGGAGAGGGACGACGCACAGUCACACAAAAACACAUACAAGCGAAAAGAAGGGCGGCGAGAAAGCAGCACCGUAAACGCUGGCGUGAGGUUGUGUUUUCCUUUUCCUUCUCUUUCUCUAUCCCCUGAGCCGCAUCUCCUCCCUAUUCUCCUCUUCCUCCUCUUGAAGCCUUCCUUCCUUCGUCCUUUUCGUGCUCCUUGACACAGGCAGGCGCUUCCUUUUCUUUUUUUUUGCUUGUUGUUGUUCUGCCUUUAUUUGUCGAGUGGGAGUUGAGCCGCUGCCCCGCUUCUCUUAUCUUCCUCCUUUUCAGCUUUUUCUGUGUACAGCACAUGCUUGCGUGUGGUCUGCGCCUACAGCUUGUGUCACCUCUGCCCGUCCUCUGCGAUUGUCUUCUACCCUCACGUCCCGGCAACUCUUGCCCAGCCGGGAGGACGACGUCUUGCGGUCCGGGUGAGCGACUCGUUAUUUUCUUUCUUCUCCCUUCUUCAUUAUUUCGAGCUGGAACACACUAACGCAGGGAAUCUGGAACUGCAUAUUUUUGCUUUAGAUUUCUUUCUCCAGCGCCGCGGGUGCCUGUGUGAGCGUGCUUGUGGGUCUUGUUAGCCGCUUGCUUGCUCCUCUCCGCCCACGUCGCCUCUCUGCAAUCUCCCCGUCUCGCCCCCCUUUUCUCCGCUAACGUUGUAUACACUCGAGAGAGAAGGGGCACUGAAAGACUCGGACACACACACAGCGCCUCCACGGCCGCUUAUCUGCUGUUGAGCACGACGGUGAUCCGCGUAUGUGUGUCUUCUGCUCUGGAGAGGAACGAGGACCAUAGAGAAGACCAAGAGUACAAAAAAAAAGGGACACACACACACACGCGCGAAGAUUGCGGGGGAGGGCUCAGCGGCUGCGUCGUUGCGUGUUUUGCCCUCCUCUGGGCCGUUGUGCUUUAGUGCGUUUGGGCCCGCGCUUCAAGAGAGGAGCCGCGCCCUCCUCCCUCCCCUCCCGGACAAAAAAAAAGAACGAAAAACAAAGAUCAUCCGCGGAAACUGAGAAAACAAACAAAAACGGUGCUGCAGUCGACUGGAACGUUGUCCCUCCCCCCUUCUCAUCAUUUCUUCUGUUGAAGUCUUUUCUGUAUUUGGCUUAGUGUUGGUGGCGGUAUGUGCGUGUACAUGGUUGGCUGCCGCACUCCUCUCAAUACCUUUGGUUCCCGUGCACACGCGUGUGCACGUGCGUCUUUCUUCUUCUUGCCUCCCAUGUAAGUGCUAUUUUCUUUUCGUCUUGCUACCCACGAGCCGAAGCCUCCACAUCGCUGUACAAGCUGAGCCUUGAAGUCGAUGGAGGCCUACGAGAUACUCGGCAUCCUCGGCGAGGGCACCUACGGCGUGGUUGUCAAGGCCCGAAGCCGCGUAACGGGGAAGCUGGUCGCCAUCAAGCGCUUUAAGCAGACAGAGCAGGAUGAGCACGUCCGCAAGACCUCCUCCCGCGAAGUGCGCAUGCUGCAGCUGCUGCAGCACCCCAACGUGAUCCGCUUAGAGGACGUCUUCCGCAGGGAGGGUAAGCUCUACCUCGUGUUUGAGUUCAUUGAUCAAACGAUCCUGCAGCUUCUGGAGAGCACCACGCGCGGUCUCCACCGCCGCGAACUGCGCCGCUACACCUACCAACUGCUGCGUGGUAUCGAGUUCUGCCACAAUCACAACGUCAUACACCGCGACGUGAAGCCGGAAAAUGUGCUCAUCGACGAAUCAGGACUGCUGAAGCUCUGCGACUUUGGCUUUGCUCGACAGACGUCGGCCAAAGGCAAGUACACAGACUACGUGGCAACGCGCUGGUACAGGGCGCCAGAGUUGCUCGUCGGAGACGUGGCCUACGGCAAGCCGGUGGACGUGUGGGCGCUAGGGUGCAUGUUUGCGGAGCUCUCCGAUGGGCAGCCACUCUUCCCCGGCGAGUCGGACCUAGACCAGCUAUGCCUGAUUAUGCAGACCUGCGGGCCAGUGCCGCAGCGCCUCGUUUUCAUCUUCAUGCACAACCCGCUGUACAACGGCAUCAGCUUCCCGCAUACCGACAUCCUGUACACGCUCAAGGAACGCUACCAUCGCGAGUCGAACGACUGGCUCGAGUUCCUCAGCUCUUGUCUCCACACAGACCCGGCGCAACGGCUGACGUGCACGGAGCUCAUGGAGCUCCCCUACUUCACGCGCGACGGCUUCCGAGAUCGCUAUGAAGCCGAGCUGCGGGCUGCAACGGGCCUGCCUCAGCUGCGGUCCACUCCUACGACGUCGGCGCCUUCGACACAGCGGCGUGCGCCGGAUCAGGCAGUCGCCUUAGGAGGCGACCUCAAGGCAGACACCGUGGUGUCUCCACACGAGCGCCGCUCGAGUGAGAUCAUUUCACCGAAGCUGCAGGGAGAGCAACCGCCCACGGUCAAAAACAGCUCAAGCGACACACACAUCUCGAAGACGGCGCUCAAGCCCGCCGCGCACGACGCCAACGCCGGCAAGGGCAAGGGAGCAGGUGCGCCAACGUUCACGUUGACGUCUCCACACAAGGCGGCGUCUGAGCAUCCCGUGCAGCUGCCGAUGAUCCUCAACAGUAACUCGGAGAGGGCCGUCGCUGCGGCGCUGACGGACUACUUGAAUCAGAUGCCCGCCUCUUCGAGCGCUGUGGUGUCGACACCAUUACAGGCCACUCCAGCAGAGGUGGCCGGGGGCUUUACCAACGCUGAUCUGCUCUCCCGCUCGUGUGGGGCGGUGCCGCCACCGCAGACAUCGCAGAUCACCAACCCAUCAACUACGCGAGAUAAAAAUAGGAAGCGGAACGUCGGUUUAGCAGAGACCGAGCUACACCGACCCAGCAGCGCAAGCAUCAGCGACGACACCGAGUACGCUGCGACGAUAGACAGCAGCAAGGGUGAACCGGCCAAGCACAUCAGCGACCAUCCACGGGCAUCGGCCACGCUUCCGCCCAACGGAGUUCUCGGUAGCGGCGGCUCUCACGAGCCGACGCGCGAAGGCGAAAAGACAAACGCGUCGCCACCGUUGCCGUCGCACGGGGUGGCAGAGAGCAGCAUGCGGGUACUCCUGACAACCGCGGCACCAGGAAAGGAUGAUGGCGAGACGGCGGUGCUGAGCCACCGACCUUUGAAGCCGGCGUCAGCGGACAAAGCCGCGGCAACGGCGGCCACGGCAUUUUCUUCGCCGACGCUCGCCGCUACCCACGGCGCCCCGCUGGCAGAGUGUCUGCAGGGCCUCCCCGCCCUGUCCCUGCACCUCCCGCGCCACUUGCAGCAGGAACGGCAGACACCAGCGGCCGAGCAGCCACAGUCGCACACCCCACUCUCCGCCGAGACCUCGAUAUCGUCUUUCCACGUCUGCAGGCGCAACCCACUUGCUGCAGCCUCGACGGAGAACGAUGACGUUUCUCGUGGUAAGGCAAACAUCGAGCCGGCUGGCUCGAGCGUCGCCAAUCCACGCCGCGGCCUCUCGAACUCAAGUGUCUCCACAGCCGCCAGCGAAACAAAGAAGCGCAAGUCCGCCAGACACAAGAGAGACACGAGCCGUCUACACGACCAGGCAGUGGGGCCCGUCAGCGGCAGCGCAUCGCGUCGCUCUGUCCCGGGGAACGCAUCGGACGUGGUAGCUUACCGCGCGGGAUUCGCCUCGGUGGUGAACUCUUUGAAGUCAACGGUGUCGCAAUCGCUCUCUUAUAUCUUGGGUCAACAGCAACGGCAGCCCUUGCUGUCCCCGGACUCACGCGGGGUCCACGCUGCCGACCCGCACCUGCACGGCGUUGGUGCAGGCCCGAGCGUGCCUGAUUCUACGCAUAACCGCAACGCCGAUGCAGCCGGCCCACAGCUGCGCAAGGAGCGGCGAUCUAAACCGUUGGCUGCCUCAACACAUGCUCUCCAGGGUAGUGAUCAGCGCCAUCGCCAGCAGUCGCAGCCGCGACUGGACGGACCACUGCACCCUGACGGCGGUGCCUCUCAGCGCGCCACGGCCACCUUGAUGGCUUUAUCAGCACUUCGCAACGUCUCCUUGCCGCCACCGACCAAGUCCGCCGGCGAUGCGGACAAGAGCAGCUACGGCCACCACACACGCUCGCACACCAACAACAACGGAGGCGAGACCGUAAGCCCCGUGGUCGGGGGGGACGGCAACGGCACCCAAACGUGCAUUGCAAGUCGCGCUCGGCGUCCUAUAGCUGUGUGCGCGGUGCACGGCAACAACCGCGAUAGCGACGAGCUGAUCUCGACCCGCCGAGUGCAGAAGAAGAAUGCCGUCGCGACACACGGCCGAACUGGCAACGGCGCUGUGGGGCCCAUUAGCUGCACAGAUAGCUCCACGACGUCUUCCUAUCAAGCGACCAGCAUCAUGUAUGGCGCGCCGUACCACCCCUUCACGAGGGCCUCAAAGAUGGACGGUGAGGUGGGCGGAGCCCCGCAGCGGCAGACCCUGCGGAGGCCCAAAAAGAAGAUUGCCGACAGCCGCGGCAGCGGUAUCGCUAACAUAACGAGCAGCAUUGGUCCCCGUCACUCGCUGGCACGUGCGCGACAAAUACAGCACCAGCCGCAACUCGCGAAAGAGGAUGGCGGCAGCGGCGAUGGCAAAACGCCCCAGUUCAAUGCCGCCGCAGCUGCAUCUCCCUAUACCAGCAGCUGACCAGAUUUGUGCUUCAAAUCCGACACACAGUAGUGCCCGGGCUUCUCUUUUUUUUUUGUUUUGCUUUCUGCUUUCCUUUUGUUGUCCUCCGAUACACAGGUGCCUCAUCCUCUCUCGCUCUCCCACGCCAUCCAGGGGCAGGGGGAGAGGCGCGUGCGUGUGUUGGCUGGCUCUUUCCUCGCACCUCGCUCUGUUCUCACUGUUCUGCUUUGUAUGGUAUCUUCGACUCUCGUUCUCUUUACUUCCCUGUCUUACCUUUGCGUGCGCAUGCGUCGCGCGCGCUCUCUUGUGUUGCUGAGGGGGUGGAAGGGGGGAGGAGCUCGCACGAGGACGCAAAACGCACAACGCAACACCGCCGCUACCACAGUCUAUCUUGUGCGCUGCUCUUCCCUUUCUUCUCUUUUUGGGUUUCUGGAGUGUUUCUCUUUUUCAUUACCUUCCUGCCUCGCUGUCGCCGGAGCUGGCGUGAGUUACAGAGAGGCCGAGAAGGCGCAUGCCCUAGUCCUCUCCCCUCCUCUCCUCACCGCACCACGCACACACGCUCACCCACAUUAUAUCAGUCUGUGCAGAAACGCUUUGUCUUUUUUUUUGGGUGGCGGUGGUCGUUGUGCUCUCUCGUCCUCGCGUUCCUUGUCGAGGGCUCGCUAAAGGCCUGCUUCACUGCCGCGUCCGUGCACGUGCAGGUCUGCCUCUCUGUGUAUGUAUGUGCAGAUGUCUUCUCGCGUUCCAUUCGCCUCCUUUUUCAUCACGGAUUCGGUAUGCGCGCGCGUGCCAUCGACUCUUUCUACCGCCUCUCUUCAUCUCUCCGGCGCGCCAGGCUUGCUUUGGUGCCUCAUUCCAACCCGCACGCGAGAGGCACGAACACAGCGCUUUUUGGCGAUGGAGAGAGGGAGGGAGGGAGAGAGGUGGUGGCGGAAGUGGUGUUGGUGGGGGGGGUUAGUGGAACAGACGAGACAGCUUCGUCCCCCCCACCCCAUCUUCUCUCUCUGUCCAAAGAAAAAGAUGCUGGCUUUUGGUGACGGUACUGGUGCGAACCCCAUGGGCUCUCCUUCUUACGUCUCUUUUUUACUCGUUGAUCACGUCUGUUGUGCAAAGAUUUUGACCCCUCUCUCCCUCUUUUCUCCAUCCCCUAAAGCCUCACGGCUGGGAUGGCGCAGAGAGCUUCUUAAUAACUCGACGAGCGAACAACUUCGAACGCACAGCAUGAACGAAGCAGCAGCAAGAAGGCGUCAAUCAGCGCCACGCGCAUGGAACACGUGUAUGCACGGACUCACACUCGAACGAACAUACGGCGGCAACAGCUCGCGAGGGAGCUGUGCGACAAACACAGCACGCGCUAAGUGUUCACCUCGCCCUCUAUCCCAACCCCCUCCUGCGGGGCGUGCUGAUGUACGUCUUUUGAGGCUCUUCUUUCAGCUCAGCCGUUUUCUGUCUCCUUAUCUUCACCGGGCACAUGUACGUGUGAAGGGCGUUUCCUGUGUAUGGUACGUCUUUAUGUAUAUGCCUGCGCCGUUGUUUAUGGGUGUGCGGGGGGAGGGUUGGCGGCACCGGCUCACGAGAUGGGAGAGGCGGUCGGGCGGCGACCUGCUUUGAAUGGAGGAAACAGGCAAGAGGUAUCCGUUGCAGUUGAAGGGCUAAUCAACGAGAGAUGUCAUUUCUUUGCAGUGUGCGAGAGGCAUGAGACACUUUAAUGGCAACGCGACUUGCGGCUUUGUGCGUGUAUGCUCGCGCACCUCUCCUUCUUUUUCUUCGACCUUUCUCAUCCACCGCUGCUGCUGUCUCACUCUCCUUCUCUGUGAGACCCCUUCCUCAUUGUGCGCGUGGAUGACCAUCCUUCUGUGCCUUUCGCUUCGAUGCCCCACGACGUCCCUCUACACUUUCCCGCCGUGCCAGCUGCUCCCCCCCUCUCUCUCCCUUUUUCCUUGUGUCGUUCCCUUCUCCCGCCCACCAUCCCCCCUCCCCCUAUGCUAACAGAUACACACAUCGCACCGGACUGUAGACUCGGAAAAAAAAAACAAAAGCAGGCGUCUCUCGACAUGCUUUUAUUCUCUUCAUUUUGUUUCACUUUGUUGGAAGGUCGCUGCUGCAGCUCUUUGUCCCUCUUUCCCUCCGUCUUAAUAGUGUCCACGGCUUUACUGAUGUGCUUAUCCCGCCCCGCCUGCCGACCGUCGCCGAUGUGUGCGUGUCUUUGCCGACUUUCUGCGCGCACCUCAGCGAUCUCUGCCUCUUGGCUCUCUUCUUUGCUUUGAAAUUUGCAUUCGCACUCGGGUGUCUCACUCUGUUUUUUUUUUUCCCUUUUCGUGUCGUUGCGUGCUUCCAUAUUUUGCUGCGCACAUGCAUCUGUAGGUGCGUGUGUGUGGUGUUGCGUGUGUGUGUGUGUCUGUGCGUGACGAGCAUGUCUUUGGGCGCGCUAAGCUGUAUGUAGAUAUCCUCCUCUUGUCUAGCUGUCGAUGUCGCCUCUUCUUUGUGCUUUCUUGCCAUGACUGUCUUCGUAAAUCUCUUCGCGGUUGUGUGUGUGCGCGUAGGUGCAGCUUCGACCCAUUUUUCUUUUCCCUUUUCGCUUUCCUUUCUUGUCUCCCUUUCACUCAUAUCUCAUGUAAGUACUCGAGUUUCUCUGUUUGUAGCGCCUUCUUCCUUCGUCUCCUUCGCUUUUUUUUUCGUUUUCUCUUGUCCUCUUCGGUGCUUGCGUUCGUGUGUGUGUGUGUGUGUACGCGCCUCUCAUGGGGGCCGUCUUGUGUUUGGUUGCGUAUGUAUGCUUGAGUGGUGCUUGGCAUCUCGGGCUGUGCAUCUUUGGAACCUGGUGCUGCAGUCAUUAAGAGAACGGAAAACAAGACGAGAACACGCGAGCACAGGUGUGAACAAAGGCGGUGCAUGCUGAUGUGGUGAUGAUCGACAACACCUAUAGAA
rnacentral:misc_RNA from 1 species